rnacentral:rRNA from 1 species
CGACGGGGUGCUCAUGACGGAGGAUUCGUCCAACGGAUUGAGUUACCUAGUGGCGGACGGGUGAGUAACGCGUGAGGAACCUGCCUUGGAGAGGGGAAUAACACUCCGAAAGGAGUGCUAAUACCGCAUGAUGCAGUUGGGUCGCAUGGCUCUGACUGCCAAAGAUUUAUCGCUCUGAGAUGGCCUCGCGUCUGAUUAGCUAGUAGGCGGGGUAACGGCCCACCUAGGCGACGAUCAGUAGCCGGACUGAGAGGUUGACCGGCCACAUUGGGACUGAGACACGGCCCAGACUCCUACGGGAGGCAGCAGUGGGGAAUAUUGGGCAAUGGGCGCAAGCCUGACCCAGCAACGCCGCGUGAAGGAAGAAGGCUUUCGGGUUGUAAACUUCUUUUGUCGGGGACGAAACAAAUGACGGUACCCGACGAAUAAGCCACGGCUAACUACGUGCCAGCAGCCGCGGUAAUACGUAGGUGGCAAGCGUUAUCCGGAUUUACUGGGUGUAAAGGGCGUGUAGGCGGGAUUGCAAGUCAGAUGUGAAAACUGGGGGCUCAACCUCCAGCCUGCAUUUGAAACUGUAGUUCUUGAGUGCUGGAGAGGCAAUCGGAAUUCCGUGUGUAGCGGUG